GAUAAACGCUGGCGGCGCACAUAAGACAUGCAAGUUGAACGGACUUAAUCGAAAUAUUUAUAUUUUGAAGCGGUUAGUGGCGGACUGGUGAGUAACGCGUAAGGAACCUGCCUAUUAGAGGGGAAUAACAGUGAGAAAUCAUUGCUAAUACCGCAUAUGCCAUAGAUAUCACAUGAUAACAGUGGGAAAGGAGCAAUCCGCUAAUAGAUGGCCUUGCGUCUGAUUAGAUAGUUGGUGGGGUAACGGCCUACCAAGUCGACGAUCAGUAGCCGGACUGAGAGGUUGAACGGCCACAUUGGGACUGAGAUACGGCCCAGACUCCUACGGGAGGCAGCAGUCGGGAAUAUUGCGCAAUGGAGGAAACCCUGACGCAGUGACGCCGCGUAUAGGAAGAAGGUUUUCGGAUUGUAAACUAUUGUCGUUAGGGAAGAGAAAGGACAGUACCUAAGGAGGAAGCUCCGGCUAACUACGUG
rnacentral:rRNA from 1 species